rnacentral:rRNA from 1 species
UACAGAGGUCUCAAGCGUUAAUCGGAGUUACUGGGCUUAAAGGGUGCGUAGGCGGCGCUGUAAGUGCUUUGUGAAAUCCCAUGGCUUAACCAUGGAAUUGCUCGGCAGACUGCAGCGCUUGAGGUUGGUAGGGGUCGCUGGAACUCUAGGUGGAGCGGUGAAAUGCGUAGAUAUCUAGAGGAACGCCAAAGGUGUAGACAGGCGACUGGGCCAAUUCUGACGCUGAGGCACGAAAGCGUGGGUAGCGAACGGGAUUAGAUACCCCGGUAGUCCACGCCCUAAACGAUGUGCACUAGAUCGUGGAGGCUCUGACGCCAUCAUGGUCGAAGUUAAAAUGCUAAGUGCACCGCCUGGGGAGUACGGUCGCAAGGCUAAA